rnacentral:rRNA from 1 species
AACGAACGCUGGCGGCAGGUCUUAGGCAUGCAAGUCGAACGGGUGUAGUAAUACACCAGUGGCGAACGAGUGAGUAACGCGUGGGAAUCUGCCCAUCUCUGGGGAAUAACGUUUGGAAACGAACGCUAAUACCGCAUACGCCCGCAAGGGGAAAGAUUUAUCGGAGAUGGAUGAGCCCGCGUUGGAUUAGUUAGUUGGUGGGGUAACGGCCUACCAAGGCGAUGAUCCAUAGCUGGUCUGAGAGGUCGAUCAGCCACGCUGGAACUGAGAUACGGUCCAGACACAUACGGGAGGCAGCAGCUAAGAAUAUUGGGAAAUGGAGGAAACUCUGACCCAGCCAUGCCGCGUGAAUGAAGAAGGCCUUCGGGUUGUAAAGUUCUUUUAGUCGUGACGAUGAUGACGGUAGCGACAGAAAAAGCACCGGCUAACUUCGUGCCAGCCGCCGCAGUAA